UACGGAGGGUGCGAGCGUUAUCCGGAAUCACUGGGCGUAAAGGGCGCGUAGGCGGUUUGUUAAGUCCGAUGUUAAAGCGUGAGGCUCAACCUCAUCACGGCGUUGGAUACUGGCGAGCUGGACGGUUGGAGAGGAAGGUAGAAUUACCAGUGUAGCGGUGGAAUGCGUAGAUACUGGUAGGAAUACCCAUUGCGAAGGCAGCCUUCUGGACAACACGUGACGCUGAGGCG
rnacentral:rRNA from 1 species